rnacentral:rRNA from 1 species
UACGGGGGGGGCAAGCGUUGUUCGGAAUUACUGGGCGUAAAGGGCUCGUGGGCGGCCAACUAAGUCAGACGUGAAAUCCCUCGGCUUAACCGGGGAACUGCGUCUGAUACUGGAUGGCUAGAGGUUGGGAGAGGGAUGCGGAAUUCCAGGUGUAGCGGUGAAAUGCGUAGAUAUCUGGAGGAACACCGGUGGCGAAGGCGGCAUCCUGGACCAAUUCUGACGCUGAUGAGCGAAAGCCAGGGGAGCAAACGGG